CAGCCGCCACGGGAAUACGGAGGGAGCUAGCGUUGUUCGGAAUUACUGGGCGUAAAGCGCGCGUAGGCGGUUACUCAAGUCAGAGGUGAAAGCCCGGGGCUCAACCCCGGAACUGCCUUUGAAACUAGGUGACUAGAAUCUUGGAGAGGUCAGUGGAAUUCCGAGUGUAGAGGUGAAAUUCGUAGAUAUUCGGAAGAACACCAGUGGCGAAGGCGACUGACUGGACAAGUAUUGACGCUGAGGUGCGAAAGCGUGGGGAGCAAACAGGAUUAGAUACCCCCGUAGUCCUGUCUCUUAUACA
rnacentral:rRNA from 1 species